rnacentral:rRNA from 1 species
AUUGAACGCUGGCGGCAUGCCUUACACAUGCAAGUCGAACGGCAGCACGGGUGCUUGCACCUGGUGGCGAGUGGCGAACGGGUGAGUAAUACAUCGGAACGUACCUUAUCGUGGGGGAUAACAAAUUGAAAAAUUUGCUAAUACCGCAUAAUACUCUGAGGAGGAAAGCGGGGGAUUCGUAAGAACCUCGCGCGAUUGGAGCGGCCGAUGUCUGAUUAGCUAGUUGGUGAGGUAAAGGCUCACCAAGGCGACGAUCAGUAGCUGGUCUGAGAGGAUGAUCAGCCACACUGGGACUGAGACACGGCCCAGACUCCUACGGGAGGCAGCAGUGGGGAAUUUUGGACAAUGGGGGCAACCCUGAUCCAGCCAUGCCGCGUGAGUGAAGAAGGCCUUCGGGUUGUAAAGCUCUUUCGGACGGGAAGAAAUCGCACGCUCUAACAUAGUGUGUGGAUGACGGUACCGUAAUAAGAAGCACCGGCUAACUACGUGCCAGCCGCCGCUGUAA